rnacentral:rRNA from 1 species
UACAGAGGUGGCAAGCGUUGUUCGGAAUUACUGGGCGUAAAGGGCGCGUAGGCGGCCUUCUAAGUCGAACGUGAAAUCCCCGGGCUCAACCCGGGAACUGCGUCCGAUACUGGAAGGCUUGAAUCCGGGAGAGGGAUGUGGAAUUCCAGGUGUAGCGGUGAAAUGCGCAGAUAUCGGGAAGAACACCCGUGGCGAAGGCGGCUUUCUGGGACGGUACUGACGCUGAGACGCGAAAGCGUGGGGAGCAAACAGG